UACGGAGGGUGCAAGCGUUGCUCGGAAUCAUUGGGCGUAAAGUGUACGCAGGCUGUUCGUUAAGUCGGGUGUGAAAUCCCGGGGCUCAACCCCGGAACUGCGCCCGAAACUGGCGAGCUUGAGUGCGGGAGAGGGAAGCGGAAUUCCUGGUGUAGAGGUGAAAUUCGUAGAUAUCAGGAGGAACACCGGUGGCGAAAGCGGCUUCCUGGCCCGACACUGACGCUCAUGUACGAAAGCGUGGGGAGCAAACAGG
rnacentral:rRNA from 1 species